UACGUAGGGUGCGAGCGUUGUCCGGAAUUACUGGGCGUAAAGAGCUCGUAGGUGGUUUGUCGCGUUGUUCGUGAAAACUCACAACUCAAUUGUGGGCGUGCGGGCGAUACGGGCAGACUGAGUACUGCAGGGGAGACUGGAAUUCCUGGUGUAGCGGUGGAAUGCGCAGAUAUCAGGAGGAACACCGGUGGCGAAGGCGGGUCUCUGGGCAGUAACUGACGCUGAGGAGCGAAAGCGUGGGGAGCGAACAGG
rnacentral:rRNA from 1 species